rnacentral:lncRNA from 1 species
AUGACGAGCGUCGGUUUGAGAUGGUCUUUGUCGCGAUUGGUGCUGCGAUUCGUACCUUUAUAUGCAAUUUAAGACCGGUGGUGAUCAUUGAUGCUGCACACCUAAAGGGUGAAUUUAAAGGGACGUUAUUUUUAGCUGUUGGGAUGGAUGGAAACAACCAAAUUUUACCAAUUUCCUACGGAAUAGGAAAAUCAGAGGAUGGUGAAUGUUGGACAUGGUUUCUGUCAAAGCUUAAAGAAUGUAUCGGUGAAAUACCUGAAAUGGCCAUAAUUUCGGAUAGAGCGAAUUCUAUACAUCUGGCUGUUAGAAACGUCUUUCCACAUGUUUAUCAUGGGUUAUGCUGUCGUCAUUUAAUGAUGAACCUACGUUUACCCU